rnacentral:rRNA from 1 species
UACGUAGGGGGCAAGCGUUGUCCGGAAUCAUUGGGCGUAAAGAGCGUGUAGGCGGCCCGAUAAGUCCGCUGUGAAAGUCCAGGGCUCAACCCUGGAAUGCCGGUGGAUACUGUCGGGCUCGAAUCCGGAAGAGGUGAGUGGAAUUCCUGGUGUAGCGGUGAAAUGCGUAGAGAUCCGGAGGAACACCAGUGGCGAAGGCGACACGCUGGGCCGUACCUGACGCUAAAGCGCGACAGCAUGGGGAGCAAACGGG